rnacentral:rRNA from 1 species
UACGGAUGGUCAUGCGUCGCAUUAGCUAGUUGGCGGGGUAACGGCCCACCAAGGCGACGAUGCGUAGGGGUUCUGAGAGGAAGGUCCCCCACACUGGUACUGAGACACGGACCAGACUCCUACGGGAGGCAGCAGUGAGGAAUAUUGGUCAAUGGCCGCAGGGCUGAACCAGCCAAGUCGCGUGAGGGAUGACGGUCCUAUGGAUUGUAAACCUCUUUUGUCAGGGAGCAAAGGGCGCCACGUGUGGCGCUUUGCGAGUACCUGAAGAAAAAGCAUCGGCUAACUCCGUGCCAGCAGCCGCGGUAAUACGGAGGAUGCGAGCGUUAUCCGGAUUUAUUGGGUUUAAAGGGUGCGCAGGCGGAAUGUCAAGUCAGCGGUAAAAUUUCGGGGCUCAACCCCGUCGUGCCGUUGAAACUGGCGUUCUUGAGUGAGCGAGAAGUAUGCGGAAUGCGUGGUGUAGCGGUGAAAUGCAUAGAUAUCACGCAGAACUCCGAUUGCGAAGGCAGCAUACCGGCGCUCAACUGACGCUCAUGCACGAAAGCGUGGGUAUCGAACAGGAUUAGAUACCCUGGUAGUCCACGCAGU